rnacentral:misc_RNA from 1 species
CCGACGAGAGUCUUCCUUCUACUUUAUGCUUGACACUCGCUACUCCUGCGUUGCUUGUGCAGGUGAAACGGAUAACGAGCCGAAAUCAUAUUAUCAACCAUGGCACGAAUAACCACCGUUCACCGACUUCGUUAACAAUCUUCCGCCAUGGAUCAUUUCGAAAAAUUCAAACGGAUACCUAUUAUCGCGCCCUCUACUUUAUCUAUGACACCUGCUGGAUAAGAGAGAAAUCGGACAACAUAGAAAUUUCUUUCUAUCGUCGAAACGUAAAGGGAAACGAGAUGGAAGUAUACGUCUCUUGUGCAGCUCGUUUAUUGGGAAACCUAAAGAGACCGUUAAACGAGCUGGGCGGGUUUUGAUUUUAAUCGAAGGUUAUGCCGCCGGCAAUAAUCGGCAGUUAGCCGAGCACCAGUCUCCGAUGAGGCUGGGGUUUGCUGAUAACAGACUUAGCAGGGGUGGCAAGUGGCGCAGCAGGGGGUGUGGAGGAGGGUUAAAACCCCCUCCGGUAACAGCCAACCAUGUUCCGAAUCUCUGGUCGGCGUCACGGCUACAUUGCUAGAAGAGCGGAUCAGGAGGGCCAGGUGGAAGGAGGAACGUGUAUCGAUGCCGGUUGGGAUAAUCGAUUGAUCGCCUUCUUAAUUAGCGGCCGAGGUAUUUAGAGUGCCCAUUCAAUUACACAGUUGCGUAAUCUGCUUACGCAGCCUCCAUCACCGAGCUUCCUCUAGCCAGAGCUAUCCCCGUUUCACGUCACGUGGACUGUAUCACGGUGCUCGUCGCCACUCAGAAAUUGGAUUCGAUGCUGUUCCAGCUUUGACGAGAGACUCCGAUUAACGGAGAAUCACGAGCAACGGCGUAAAGUUUCGUUCGAUUCUGCAACUAACCGCCUCUCGAGAAGCAAGACUCUUUGAGUUGGUGGAAACAACCGUUUUCGUCCCCGAUAACAACAAGGAAAUUCAUUCGCUUUUUGAUCGUGCGAAUCUAUAGCACAAAGCCCGACGUCCUCCACUUUCGCAAACGAAUGGACAGAGGGAUGGCACACGAAAACAGUGAACAUGAACGACGCGACGAGACGCGUCGCGGUGCUUGCCAACACCCGGACCAGAGGUUCGUCGCCAAGCAGCCCGGACUGUACCAGCCAGUUUCGUCGUUCAACGCUUUUUGCCGUCGCGAAAGUUAACGAGUCGUGAGAGGGAAGAACGACGAAAGGAAACACGAUGAGGGCACAGCGAAAUCAACGACGUCUAAACCUUCUAAAUACCGUAGGAGUUGGAUAAAAAUACGUCGAGAUUCGUCUUCAAAUUUGAAAAGAUCGAUCGAUUACGAUAAGAGAUUAA